rnacentral:rRNA from 1 species
UACGUAGGGGGCAAGCGUUAUCCGGAUUUACUGGGUGUAAAGGGAGCGUAGACGGCGCGGCAAGUCUGAAGUGAAAGCCCGGGGCUUAACCCCGGGACUGCUUUGGAAACUGCCAUGCUGGAGUGCUGGAGAGGUAAGUGGAAUUCCUAGUGUAGCGGUGAAAUGCGUAGAUAUUAGGAGGAACACCAGUGGCGAAGGCGGCUUACUGGACAGUAACUGACGUUGAGGCUCGAAGGCGUGGGGAGCAAACAGG